GAUUAACGAGAAUGUACCAUGUUUAGAGAUUGACAUUUUUCAUUGAAAACUAACGAGGAGUGAUUUUUGAGGAUGAAUAGAAUCUCACCAUCAUGUCCUCUGAAAUAAAAUAUAUCAACGCUC